GGCGUGUAGACUACAGCGGGCGGCCCUCGGAUCGGUACUGCGGGUGGGAUUUGGAGGCGGACCCUGUGGGCAGGCUUGAAGGGGGGCCCAGACCUUGAGCUGUGUUAGGGGCCCCAAAAUUUCUGAUGGCGGCCCUACUCUCCUCUACUCCGUCUCCUACCACUCCCAUUAUCGUUUAUAACUUCUUAUCCCUCCUUCACUUCCA